rnacentral:rRNA from 1 species
UACGGAGGGUGCAAGCGUUAUCCGGAUUCACUGGGUUUAAAGGGUGCGUAGGUGGGCAAGUAAGUCAGUGGUGAAAUCUCCGGGCUUAACCCGGAAACUGCCAUUGAUACUAUUUGUCUUGAAUACUGUGGAGGUCAGCGGAAUAUGUCAUGUAGCGGUGAAAUGCUUAGAUAUGACAUAGAACACCGAUAGCGAAGGCAGCUUGCUACACAAUCAUUGACACUGAGGCACGAAAGCGUGGGGAUCAAACAGG